UACAGAGGGGGCAAGCGUUGUUCGGAAUUACUGGGCGUAAAGGGCGCGUAGGCGGCCUGCUAAGUCGAACGUGAAAUCCCUGGGCUCAACCCAGGAACUGCGUCCGAUACUGGUUGGCUUGAAUUCGGGAGAGGGAUGCGGAAUUCCAGGUGUAGCGGUGAAAUGCGUAGAUAUCUGGAGGAACACCGGUGGCGAAGGCGGCAUCCUGGACCGGCAUUGACGCUGAGGCGCGAAAGCCAGGGGAGCAAACGGGAUUAGAAACCCCCGUAGUCC
rnacentral:rRNA from 1 species